UGGGGAAUAUUGCACAAUGGGCGAAAGCCUGAUGCAGCGACGCCGCGUGAGGGAUGACGGCCUUCGGGUUGUAAACCUCUUUCAGUAGGGACGAAGCGCAAGUGACGGUACCUGCAGAAGAAGCACCGGCUAACUACGUGCCAGCAGCCGCGGUAAUACGUAGGGUGCGAGCGUUGUCCGGAAUUACUGGGCGUAAAGAGCUCGUAGGCGGUUUGUCACGUCGUCUGUGAAAUCCUAGGGCUUAACCCUGGACGUGCAGGCGAUACGGGCUGACUUGAGUACUACAGGGGAGACUGGAAUUUCUGGUGGAGCGGUGGAAUGCACAGAUAUCAGGAAGAACACCGAUGGCGAAGGCAGGUCUCUGGGUAGUAACUGACGCUGAGGAGCGAAAGCAUGGGUAGCGAACAGG
rnacentral:rRNA from 1 species